UACGUAGGGGGCAAGCGUUGUCCGGAAUCAUUGGGCGUAAAGAGCGUGUAGGCGGUCCGGUAAGUCGGCUGUGAAAGUCCAGGGCUCAACCCUGGGAUGCCGGUCGAUACUGCCGGACUAGAGUUCGGAAGAGGCGAGUGGAAUUCCCGGUAUAGCGGUGAAAUGCGCAGAUAUCGGGAGGAACACCUAUGGCGAAGGCAGCUCGCUGGGACGUUACUGACGCUGAGACGCGAAAGCGUGGGGAGCAAACAGG
rnacentral:rRNA from 1 species